ACUGCUCAGUAACACGUGGCUAAUCUGCCCUUAGGACGAGAACAACCCCGGGAAACUGGGGCUAAUUCUCGAUAGGUGAAGAACACUGGAAUGUGUCUUCACCUAAAUGGUGCAAGGUAAUGCUCUUUGCAUUGCCUAAGGAUGAGGCCGCGGCGGUCAGGUUGUUGGUGAGGUAAUGGCUCACCAAGCCUUUUACCGGUGCGGGCCGUGAGAGCGGGAGCCGGAGAUGGGUACUGGGACAAGGACCCAGGCCCUACGGCGCAGAGUCGCGAAAACUUUGCAAUAGGCGAAAGUGACAGGGCUAUCCCGAGUGCCAUCCGCUGAGGAAGGCUUUUACCCAGUCUAGAACGCUGGGGGAAUAAGGAGAGGGCAAGUCUGGUGUCAGCCGCCGCGGUAAUACCAGCUCUUCGAGUGGUGUGGAUGUUUAUUGGGCCUAAAGCAUCCGUAGCUGGCUAGGUUAGUCCCCUGUUAAAUCCACCGAAUUAAUCGUUGGAUUGCGGGGGAUACUGCUUGGCUAGGGGACGAGAGAGGCAGACGGUAUUUCCGGGGUAGGGGUGAAAUCCUAUAAUCCCGGGAAGACCACCAGUGGCGAAGCUGUCUGCUAGAACGCGCCCGACGGUGAGGGAUGAAAGCUGGGGGAGCGAACCGGAUUAGAUACCCGGGUAGUCCCAGCUGUAACGAUGCAGACUAGGUGUUUGGACGGCCACGUGCCGUUCUAGUGCCGCAGGAAGCUGUUAAGUCUGCCGCCUGGGGAGUACGAUCGCAAGAUUGAAACUUAAAGGAAUUGGCGGGGGAGCA
rnacentral:rRNA from 1 species